rnacentral:rRNA from 1 species
GAUGAACGCUGGCGGCGUGCUUAACACAUGCAAGUCGAACGAGAAGUGAAGACGGAAACCUUCGGGCGGAAGGCUUUAUUUCGAGUGGCGGACGGGUGAGUAACGCGUGGGUAACCUGCCUCAUACAGGGGGAUAACAGUUGGAAACGACUGUUAAUACCGCAUAAGACCACAGCACCGCAUGGUGCGGGGGUAAAAACUCCGGUGGUAUGAGAUGGACCCGCGUUCGAUUAGCCAGUUGGCGGGGGAACGGCCCACCAAAGCGACGAUCGAUAGCCGAUCUGAGAGGAUGACCGGCCACAUUGGGACUGAGACACGGCCCAAACUCCUACGGGAGGCAGCAGUGGGGAAUAUUGCACAAUGGGGGAAACCCUGAUGCAGCGACGCCGCGUGAGUGAAGAAGUAUUUCGGUAUGUAAAGCUCUAUCAGCAGGGAAGAAAAUGACGGUACCUGAGUAAGAAGCCCCGGCUAACUACGU